rnacentral:lncRNA from 1 species
CUGGCGGGCUCCUGGCGCUGCCAGCCGGAGCGAGCUGACCUGGAUGGAGCAAAGGGCCGGAAGCUGGGAAGGGCUAGGGGACACCUUGGCCUUGGCAGAGCGGGAUGCGAGCGCCGAGAGGGUGCCAAGAGGAAGGUGUAGGGACGCCGAGACCCCCGGGAGGUGCCUGGGAAGCCCGCAGAGAGGAGCCCUCUCACCCCUCCCGAGCGUUUCAUCGGCCUACAAGAAAAAAAUCACGUUAUUCAUGCUGGUCUCAAACUUGGUAUGCAUCCAGAGAUAGCCUGGAACUCUCUUUCAGAGAUUGGGCCAAUUUAUUCUCCAGCCACGCUGAGAACCGGACAGCCCAUUCAGCCUGGGGUAGAG